rnacentral:rRNA from 1 species
UACGGGGGGGGCAAGCGUUGUCCGGAAUCAUUGGGCGUAAAGCGCGUGUAGGCGGCUCGGUAAGUCUGCUGUGAAAGUCCAGGGCUCAACCCUGGGAUGCCGGUGGAUACUGUCGAGCUCGAGUCCGGAAGAGGCGAGUGGAAUUCCUGGUGUAGCGGUGAAAUGCGCAGAUACCAGGAGGAACACCAAUGGCGAAGGCAGCUCGCUGGGACGUGACUGACGCUGAGACGCGAAAGCGUGGGGAGCAAACAGG